rnacentral:hammerhead_ribozyme from 1 species
CUCUAGCUGACGAGUUCCAAGUAGGACGAAACGCGCGUCCUGGAU